CCAGCUCAGCGGCACCUCUGUCAGGGGAACCCGUUGACACACCCAGGUCUGGACCAUCCAGUCUCACCGCCCCUGAAAACGAACCCGCUCCUGAGGCCCCUGAUCGACACGGUUCUCCUCACCCUGACCACUCCUCUGAUUCAGAGGGGGAGACGAAUGGCCCUGAUAGACUGCCUGGCUACCAGCAUGUCUGUCGGCUUGCCAGGGCCUUGGUGGGGGUGAGGAACCGUCAGGGGCUGUCGGACCGCAGGGUAGACGGUCUGGUGGCGCUGUGGCUGGCGCUGCCAGACUUAGACAAGCAGCGCUUGAUCGACCCUGCCCGACACCAGGAGAGGAUCGUUCAGGGGCGGUUCAAGGCAACGAAGGGGAAGUCGUCCAUUGUCCUAGGAAAAGACUCUCUCCAACGUUGCCUUGUCGGACUCAACUCGGGCCCUUCAAAUUGACCGGGCACCGGACGUUUGGUGGAGGCCAUUUGCAGUCAGCUCUGCCAAAUCCAUCCCAGCGCCACGCAGUCUGCCGGCGUCAAGAAGAGCAGGUGGGCGCUCAUUCUGGCAGACUGCGUGGCCAUCAGGGAGGCUGAACAGCCCAGACCAACCUUCAGCUCUCUGAGCUGAAUCAAAGGACCAUCAGUCAGUGGUUCUCCCGGCGUCAGAGGGAGAGGGAAAGGAUGGUGCUGCAGCAGGGAUUGGGGCUCGCUGCUGCCCCCAGCGUCACCGCCAAGCCCAUCCCUGCAGCCAAGCCCCGCCCCUCCCUGCAGCCCCGCCCCUCCCUGCAGCCCAGCCCCUCCCUCCACUACCAGCGGGAGGGAAUCCAGGCACUCUUCCCUUUCCCUACGCCGCCCCCACCAGUCCCACGCUAGACCACCCAGCAAGGAGGGCCCACCUGGAGCAACAAUCCCCCGCACUUCCCGGCCCCUCCCAAGCCCUGCAAGCCCAAGGACCACAGACGGGCUCCUCUUCACCUCCUCCGGUGCCAAGGACAACGGCGUGGAGGAGGAAGAGGAUGGCGGAGGACAAAGAGGAGGGGACAUCUGGGAAGAGAAGGCAACGCGAGCAGUACGUCUGCUCCAAAUGUGGGUUGCCGAAGCAACGGGAGACGGGGCACAGCCACUUCGGCGGCGUGGGGUUCUGCUCUGUUGCUGCGGGGGUAAGACCGUGGCCCAGUGGCUGGAGGAAAUGAAGGACGCUAAGGGGGUAAGACCGUGGCCCAGUGGCUGGAGGAAAUGAAGGACGCUAAGGGGGUAAGACCGUGGCCCAGUGGCUGGAGGAAAUGAAGGACGCUAAGGGGGUAAGACCGUGGCCCAGUGGCUGGAGGAAGUGAAGGACGCUAAGGGGGUAAGACCGUGGCCCAGUGGCUGGAGGAAGUGAAGGACGCUAAGGGGGUAAGACCGUGGCCCAGUGGCUGGAGGAAAUGAAGGACGCUAAGGGGGUAAGACCGUGGCCCAGUGGCUGGAGGAAAUGAAGGACGCUAAGGGGGUAAGACCGUGGCCCAGUGGCUGGAGGAAAUGAAGGACGCUAAGGGGGUAAGACCGUGGCCCAGUGGCUGGAGGAAAUGAAGGACGCUAAGGGGGUAAGACCGUGGCCCAGUGGCUGGAGGAAAUGAAGGACGCUAAGGGGGUAAGACCGUGGCCCAGUGGCUGGAGGAAAUGAAGGACGUAUAAGGGGGUAAGACCGUGGCCCAGUGGCUGGAGGAAAUGAAGGACGCUAAGGGGGUAAGACCGUGGCCCAGUGGCUGGAGGAAAUGAAGGACGCUAAGGGGGUAAGACCGUGGCCCAGUGGCUGGAGGAAAUGAAGGACGUAUAAGGGGGUAAGACCGUGGCCCAGUGGCUGGAGGAAGUGA